rnacentral:rRNA from 1 species
UGGGGAAUUUUCCGCAAUGGGCGCAAGCCUGACGGAGCAAUACCGCGUGAGGGAGGAAGGCUUUUGGGUUGUAAACCUCUUUUGUUAAGGAAGAAAAUUUGACGGUACUUAACGAAUCAGCAUCGGCUAACUCCGUGCCAGCAGCCGCGGUAAUACGGAGGAUGCAAGCGUUAUCCGGAAUCAUUGGGCGUAAAGCGUCCGCAGGUGGUUAAUCAAGUCUGCUGUUAAAGACAGAAGCUCAACUUCUGAUAGGCAGUGGAAACUGGUGAACUAGAGUAUGGUAGGGGUUGAGGGAAUUCCCAGUGUAGCGGUGAAAUGCGUAGAUAUUGGGAAGAACACCAGUGGCGAAGGCGCUCAACUGGGCCAUAACUGACACUCAGGGACGAAAGCUAGGGUAGCGAAAGGGAUUAGAUACCCGGGUAGUCC